AGUGAACGCUGGCGGUAGGCCUAACACAUGCAGGUCGAACGGCAGCACAGUAAGAGCUUGCUCUUACGGGUGGCGAGUGGCGGACGGGUGAGGAAUACAUCGGAAUCUACUUUUUCGUGGGGGAUAACGUAGGGAAACUUACGCUAAUACCGCAUACGACCUACGGGUGAAGGCAGGGGAUCUUCGGACCUUGCGCGAUUGAAUGAGCCGAUGUCGGAUUAGCUAGUUGGCGGGGUAAAGGCCCACCAAGGCGACGAUCCGUAGCUGGUCUGAGAGGAUGAUCAGCCACACUGGAACUGAGACACGGUCCAGACUCCUACGGGAGGCAGCAGUGGGGAAUAUUGGACAAUGGGCGCAAGCCUGAUCCAGCCAUACCGCGUGGGUGAAGAAGGCCUUCGGGUUGUAAAGCCCUUUUGUUGGGAAAGAAAAGCAGCAGGUUAAUACCCCGCUGUUCUGACGGUACCCAAAGAAUAAGCACCGGCUAACUUCGUG
rnacentral:rRNA from 1 species